rnacentral:rRNA from 1 species
GUAUACAGUGAAACUGCGAACGGCUCAGUAAAUCUGCAAAAAUCUAUUUGAUAGUACCUUCUACUUGGAUAUCCGUGGUAAUUCUAGAGCUAAUACAUGCUAAAAAUCCCGACUCACGAAGGGAUGUAUUUAUUAGAUAAAAAACCAAUGCCCUUCGGGGCUCUUUGGUGAUUCAUAAUAACUAAACGAAUCGCAUGGCCUUGCGCCGGCGAUGGUUCAUUCGAUCUUCAGCCCUAUCAACUUUCGAUGGUAGGAUAGAGGCCUACCAUGGUGUCGACGGGUAACGGGGAAUUAGGGUUCUAUUCCGGAGAGGGAGCCUGAGAAACGUGAGUUAACUAAUCUUCCAACUAAAUUUUCCUUUACAGUUGCUAACUGAGAUGCAGGGCUACCACAUCCAAGGAAGGCAGCAGGCGCGCAAAUUACCCAAUUCCAAUUCGGAGAGGUAGUGACAAUACAUACUGAUGCGGUGCUCUUUUGGGCAUCGCAAUUGGAAUGAGAACAAUCUAAAUCCCUUAUCGAGGAACAAUUGGAGGGCAAGUCUGGUGGACAGCUGGCGCCAGACAGCCGGAGCACUCAGCUGUGAGUCGCUCUGACAGUGGGUGUAACAACCCGCGAGGAAUCCGGUACCGUGGACGCUCCAGCCGGAGCCGACACGGUGGCAGUCUUGACUGUCGAAACGCACGCCAGGGUUCCGGUAGACUCCCAGCGGAUCUACUUGAGGUACGUGCUAAACUUCCCCCCUGGGGCGAAGAGUUAGUUGGCCAGCAGCCGCGGUAAUUCCAGCUCCAAUAGCGUAUAUUAAAGUUGUUGCAGUUAAAAAGCUCGUAGUUGAACUUUGGGUCUAGCCGUCCGGUCCGCCUCACCGCGAGUACUGGCUCGGCUGGAUCUUUCCUUCUGGGGAUCCGCAUGCUCUUUAUUGAGCGUGUUGGGGAACCAGGACUUUUACUUUGAAAAAAUUAGAGUGUUCAAAGCAGGCAUAUGCUCGAAUAUCUUAGCAUGGAAUAAUAGAAUAGGACGUGCGGUUCUAUUUUGUUGGUUUCUAGGACCGCCGUAAUGAUUAAUAGGGAUAGUCGGGGGCAUCAGUAUUCAAUUGUCAGAGGUGAAAUUCUUGGAUUUAUUGAAGACUAACUACUGCGAAAGCAUUUGCCAAGGAUGUUUUCAUUAAUCAGUGAACGAAAGUUAGGGGAUCGAAGACGAUCAGAUACCGUCGUAGUCUUAACCAUAAACUAUGCCGACUAGGGAUCGGACGGUGGUUCUAUUUUGCCCCGUUCGGCACCUUACGAGAAAUCAAAGU